rnacentral:rRNA from 1 species
UCAGGCCUAACACAUGCAAGUCGAGGGGUAGAACAUUUCGGUGUUUGGGACCGGCGCACGGGUGCGUAACGCGUAUGCAACCUACCUUUUACAGGGGAAUAGCCCAGAGAAAUUUGGAUUAAUGCCCCAUGGUAUAUUUAGAUGGCAUCAUCUGAUUAUUAAAGUUCCAACGGUAAAAGAUGGGCAUGCGUCCUAUUAGCUAGGUGGUAAGGUAACGGCUUACCAUGGCAACGAUAGGUAGGGGUCCUGAGAGGGAGAUCCCCCACACUGGUACUGAGACACGGACCAGACUCCUACGGGAGGCAGCAGUGAGGAAUAUUGGACAAUGGGCGCAAGCCUGAUCCAGCCAUGCCGCGUGCAGGAAGAAGCAUCUAUGGUGUAAAGGUGCUUUUGUACGGGAAGAAACACUCCUACGGUAGGAGCUGA